rnacentral:rRNA from 1 species
UACGUAGGGUCCGAGCGUUGUCCGGAAUUACUGGGCGUAAAGAGCUCGUAGGUGGUUUGUCGCGUUGUCCGUGAAAACUCACAGCUUAACUGUGGGCGUGCGGGCGAUACGGGCAGACUGGAGUACUGCAGGGGAGACUGGAAUUCCUGGUGUAGCGGUGAAAUGCGCAGAUAUCAGGAGGAACACCGGUGGCGAAGGCGGGUCUCUGGGCCGAUACUGACGCUGAGGAGCGAAAGCGUGGGGAGCGAA